CGCACAUUGCGCCCCUUGGUAUUCCGGGGGGCAUGCCCGUUCGAGCGUCAUUACACCUCUCAAGCCUGGCUUGGUAUUGGGGGUUGCGGUUUGACUGCACCCUUUGAAUUCAUUCGGCUGGUAAUAUCCAAUCCUCAGCGUCGUGCAACAUCAUCGCCGAAGGGUUUGGGUGUACAAGCCGUUAAACUCCAUCAAAAGGUUGACCUCGGAUCGGGUAGGGAUACCCGCUGAACUUAA
rnacentral:misc_RNA from 1 species